rnacentral:tRNA from 1 species
AGUAAAGUCAGCUAACUAAGCUAUCGGGCUCAUACC